rnacentral:misc_RNA from 1 species
UUUCCGUAGGUGAACCUGCGGAAGGAUCAUUAUUGUAUAACCGAGGUGCGAGGGCUGUCGCUGACCCGAAAGGUCGUGCACGCCCGAGUGCCCUCACACAUCCAUCUCACCCCUAUGUGCACCACCGCGUGGGUCCCCCUUUGGCUUGUUCGGAGGGGGGCUUACGUUUUCACACAAACUUUGUAUGCAGUGUUGAAUGUAUUUUUUGUUUUUGCGAUCACGCAAUCAAUACAACUUUCAACAACGGAUCUCUUGGCUCUC